AGGACGCCCCGCGACUCUAGGCGGCGGGUUCUGGAAUCCACGCUGGACAUGGCCCGCAGCUAGACUCCCUCCCGGGCUGAGUCCACCGUGUCGUGCUGCGGGUCUACACGGCCGCCAGCGUACUCCCCGCCCUGUCUCCACACUACGCCUGAUUGGCGAGCCGCGGGGCGACGACCUCGUCCGCGCGUCUCCUGGAGACGUGGAAAUGCAUCUUGUUCCAGUACAUCACAUUCCAGGGAGCAAAGAAUUCUUUUACAAAGCCGGGUGUCAUCAUUUUCUUAGAAGAAGAACCAUUGCAACAGGGCUCAAAGUUGACUCUGCUGGAAAGAGAAACUUGACCGAGCACUUGCCGUGCUUCAGGCAUCGUUCAAGGCAACAGGGUUAUGGUCUUGAAUAGGAGAGACAGAGUUCUCAUCUCUAGACAGACUGGCAGUAAGCCCGAAAAUAGAUCAAUACACAAUAUAAUUUCAGAUAGUGACUUUUUGCUACAAAGCCAAAAGUAAAU
rnacentral:lncRNA from 10 species